rnacentral:rRNA from 1 species
UACGUAGGUGGCAAGCGUUGUCCGGAUUUACUGGGCGUAAAGAGCGCGCAGGCGGUCGUUCAAGUCGCGUGUGAAAGCCCCCGGCUCAACUGGGGAGGGUCACGCGAUACUGAUCGACUCGAAGGCAGGAGAGGGAAGUGGAAUUCCCGGUGUAGUGGUGAAAUGCGUAGAUAUCGGGAAGAACACCGGUGGCGAAGGCGGCUAUCUGGCCCGUAAUUGACGCUGAGGCGCGAAAGCGUGGGGAGCAAACAGG